rnacentral:lncRNA from 10 species
CUGGGGAUGCCAGCUCACUCUCACUCCACCUGCAUCAGAUGUGUGCAUUAGACAGGCUGUGGGGCUGUCCUGAAACUCUGCGCUUGCCCAGUGCCUUUGGAUGGGUGCCCUGGGAAGGCUGGAAGCUGGGCGGGCCCUGCAGAAGAGGAUGGAGCCACAGCUUUGCUGAUUCCAGUGAAGCCCAAGGAAGGGCUCAGCUAUCCAGGAAACCCUCCAGGGGAAAAGGAUUGGGUUCUGGAAUCACAAAGCCCAGGGUCUUAAUCACAGCUCUACUGCUUACAAGCUUCGGACAUUGAGUUGAACUCUUGACAGUCUGAGGCCCAGUCUCCAUAUCCGUAAAAAGGGAAUAAUGAGGCCUUCUUAGGUUUGCUGGGGGUGUUUGAACAGGAAGCUCUGGGCCCAGGCUCCAUUCGGACCUCCCAUUUUUCUACCCACAAACACCCCUCCCCAUGGAAUAGUCUGUGCCAGGCUAAGCAGGGCACAGUGCUUGGGCCAAAGGCACACAGAGGAAGUCCCCCCUGGAAAACCUUGGAAGAAAGAAAUGGAUGGCCCCAGAGGACACAGCGAUGAUGCUGACAAUGGACAGAAAACUGCUCAGAGAAAGAUCUUUAUGUGUCAAUGGUAAGACAAAAAAAUGGAAAUACUCGAAAGAUUCAAAACCAGAAAUGGAUUAAGUGGCAGUGGAGUAUUAUGGCUUGGUGAUAAAGACUGCGCAUUCUGGAAUCAGAUGGACCUGGAAGCCUGCUGAGAAAGGAAGAGACCCAAGGGAGUUACUGGAGUUUCAGAGAUCAUAUGAAGAGCUGUGCUUAAGACCGGAAGUUCUGGAGCCAGGCUGUGUGAGUCAAACCUGACUUUGUCGCUUACCAGCUGUGUGACUAAGGGCAAAGCAAUUUACCCUCUCUGUGCUUCAGCCUCUAUUGUAAAACAGAUGUCAAAGUGCCAACCCUGGACCAUGGUUGGGAGGUCACAGUGAGUCACCUUCUGGCUCAGCAGAAGAAUUUUCUGAUGCUCUAAUAGCUGGUCAAAAGUGGAAUAGAGUUGCCUGGGUCUGGCUCUAUUGCCCAGGCUGGAAUGCAAUGGCGUGCUCUCAGCUCACUGCAACCUCUGCCUCCCAGGCUCCAAUGAUCCUCCCACCUCCGCCUCCCAAGUAGCUGGGACUACAGGCGCAUGUUACCAUGCCUGGCUAAUUUUUUGAAUUUUUUGGUAGAGACAGGGUUUCACUAUGUUGCCCAGGCUAGUCUUGAAGUCCUGGGCUCAAGCAAUCCUCCCACCUCGGCCUCCCAAAGUGCUGGGAUUACAGGUGUGAGCCACCAUGCUGGGGCAAGCCUACUAAUUCGUAUUUCAAGAAGCAAGUGCUAGCGUGUUGUAUGGUUACGUGUACCGCUGAUGAACUCAUGGCAGUAGUAGUGCCAGACUGGGACAAAUGAUGCUGAGGAAAGAGAAAACCCUGGUCAGGCUGGUGGUGUUCACCCCAUCACCCCCACCACCCCAAAAGACAGACAGAUGGACGGGCAAACAUUUUCUCUCCCUCUUACAUAUUGAGUUGCCCCAAACAUCACUACUCUAAUUAUGAACAGAUGCAUGCAGAUUCCUUAAAAUUGGCAGGUCCCACCUCCUGGCAGUGAACCCACACACGGAACUAUUAGACUGGGAUGGAAGACAAUAGGUUGGGAUUGAGGGGGAAUGGUAGGAGAAGGAAGGGGGAGCAGGUCCGGCUUCAGCCCUGGCCAGUGAUACGAGCCCAUCUCCUGCUGUGUUCAACUGGAAACAGGGAAAUGGUUGUGCUGAUGUAUCCAUUCUCAAACUCCCCAGAGAAGGUGGAUAAUAAAUAAGUGACAAUAACAGAUUGCACACUGUCAGCGCGGGCACUUCUUUGCCCCCAGAGAAUUGAUUUUUAAUAACAGCGCAGAUGACAUGUGGCGGGAGUUGUCACUGACACCGGUGUUUUGUGGGCCUCAAUAAAUCACAUCAGCCUGGAGGCUCUGAAAUGGACUAGCUUGUUGGGUGCUGUUUGUGGAUUGCUACUCGGCCCUGGAAUGGCUCCCGGGUCCCAGGAGGCUGGAUUCUGCAACCUACUGACUGCUAGACCUUGGCCAGUUACUUCACCAGUCUGGGCCUCAGUUUCUCCAUGUUUAAAAUGGGCAGAACUGUCUUGGUCUCACAGCAGUGUUGCAAAAGGUUAGACGAAGAAAACUGUCCCAUAAAAUAUGUUGAUCACUAUUAUAGUAAUAAUGAUCUAGAAAGUCAGGAAGUUGAUAGGUUUGGGGGCGGAGUAUCUGGCAUCUCUGUUUUCAUGAAUAGCAUUCAAGGGUGAUAUUCAAAGGACCAAAGGAAUUCAAAGGAAUGUGCUAAUAAAAUAGAAGCAAGAUGGGAAGGCACAAAAAUCAGGUGUUAAUCAGGCCCAGGAUUGGGGGUGGUGGUGGGGUGCCUUCCUGCCCUAGCAAGCUGUGAUAUAAGAAUAAUAACAAGUGAAUAUUUGUUAAGCAUUUACAGUGCCAGAGCUGCACUAAGUACUUCAUAUACAGUAUCUCAUUUAAUCCUCAUAAGACCCUGUGAGGCAAUUACCAUAAUUAUCUGAUUUUAUGGAUGAGAAGACACUCAGCUACCCAUGUGUAGGACAGGGCCAGGCAGGCGAGGAGAGUGGGCCGGCUGUGGAGGCUGCAGCCUGCACAACUCUGUUUAAAGGGGCAGGGCUGCUCAGCCAUGCAGGAAUGCAGGGGUAGGGCCCUGGUACGGCCAGGUCUCUCAAUUUUCCAAAAGAAUAUAGAGAGUGGGAUUUGUGGAAGAAAUCUGAUAUUUAAAUGUUGACAGCUUAUUAAGCUUUGUGUUCUUAAAAAGACACUCUAUGAGCCAACCCCACAAUUGCUAACUAAUAGCUGUCUGUGAGCUGGACGGGGGCCCUGGGUUUCCAGCUUGUGAUCUCUGGGGUAGGAGCUGUUUCCAUGCAGAGGUUCACCAUGCUGCAUUGCCCCUCUGAGGAAACAACUGUCAACAGAAUGAUCAUCGAAACGUGGCUAUGACCACACACUAUGCUCAAUACUAGAGGGUAGAAUACAAUUGCAUAUCCUAAUCCUCACAAAGGAGGUGCUAUUGAUCCCAUUUUACACAUAAAGAAGCAGAAAGUUGAAGGGGCUCAGUGAUUUGCUCAAGGUUCCACAGUGGUAGUGCGCUGGACCCUGGGAAUGGCAGACUCUCAAAGGUAGCUCUCUCUACUCCACUGAGCA